AUACGGAGGAUCCGAGCGUUAUCCGGAUUUAUUGGGUUUAAAGGGUGCGCAGGCGGCCAUUUAAGUCAGCGGUUAAAUCGUGGGGCUCAACCCCAUUCUGCCGUUGAUACUGGGUGGCUUGAUUGCGGUCGAGGUUGGCGGAAUUCGUUGUGUAGCGGUGAAAUGCAUAGAUAUGACGAAGAACACCGAUUGCGUAGGCAGCUGACCGGAUCGCAAAUGACGCUCAUGCACGAAAGUGCGGGGAUCGAACAGGAUUAGAUACCCUGGUAGUCCGCACAGUAAACGAUGAAUACUUGUUUUCGGCGAUAUAAUGUCGGAGGCAAAGCGAAAGCGAUAAGUAUUCCACCUGGGGAGUACGCCGGCAACGGUGAAACUCAAAUGAAUUGACGGGG
rnacentral:rRNA from 1 species